rnacentral:rRNA from 1 species
CUAAUGUUGAAAAAUUAGCGGAUGACCUGUGGCUGGGGGUGAAAGGCCAAUCAAACCGGGAGAUAGCUGGUUCUCCCCGAAAGCUAUUUAGGUAGCGCCUCGUGAAUUCAUCUUCGGGGGUAGAGCACUGUUUCGGCUAGGGGGCCAUCCCGGCUUACCAACCCGAUGCAAACUACGAAUACCGAAGAAUGUUAUCACGGGAGACACACGGCGGGUGCUAACGUCCGUCGUGAAGAGGGAAACAACCCAGACCGCCAGCUAAGGUCCCAAAGUCAUGGUUAAGUGGGAAACGAUGUGGGAAGGCACAGACAGCCAGGAUGUUGGCUUAGAAGCAGCCAUCAUUUAAAGAAAGCGUAAUAGCUCACUGGUCGAGUCGGCCUGCGCGGAAGAUGUAACGGGGCUAAACCAUGCACCGAAGCUGCGGCAGCGACACUAUGUGUUGUUGGGUAGGGGAGCGUUCUGUAAGCCUGCGAAGGUGUGCUGUGAGGCAUGCUGGAGGUAUCAGAAGUGCGAAUGCUGACAUAAGUAACGAUAAAGCGGGUGAAAAGCCCGCUCGCCGGAAGACCAAGGGUUCCUGUCCAACGUUAAUCGGGGCAGGGUGAGUCGACCCCUAAGGCGAGGCCGAAAGGCGUAGUCGAUGGGAAACAGGUUAAUAUUCCUGUACUUGGUGUUACUGCGAAGGGGGGACGGAGAAGGCUAUGUUGGCCGGGCGACGGUUGUCCCGGUUUAAGCGUGUAGGUGUGUGUUCCAGGUAAAUCCGGUUCACUUUAACACUGAGGCGUGAUGACGAGGCACUACGGUGCUGAAGUAACAAAUGCCCUGCUUCCAGGAAAAGCCUCUAAGCAUCAGGUAACAUCAAAUCGUACCCCAAACCGACACAGGUGGUCAGGUAGAGAAUACCAAGGCGCUUGAGAGAACUCGGGUGAAGGAACUAGGCAAAAUGGUGCCGUAACUUCGGGAGAAGGCACGCUGACAUGUAGGUGAAGCCCCUGCGGGUGGAGCUGAAGUCAGUCGAAGAUACCAGCUGGCUGCAACUGUUUAUUAAAAACACAGCACUGUGCAAACACGAAAGUGGACGUAUACGGUGUGACGCCUGCCCGGUGCCGGAAGGUUAAUUGAUGGGGUUAUCGCAAGAGAAGCUCCUGAUCGAAGCCCCGGUAAACGGCGGCCGUAACUAUAACGGUCCUAAGGUAGCGAAAUUCCUUGUCGGGUAAGUUCCGACCUGCACGAAUGGCGUAAUGAUGGCCAGGCUGUCUCCACCCGAGACUCAGUGAAAUUGAACUCGCUGUGAAGAUGCAGUGUACCCGCGGCAAGACGGAAAGACCCCGUGAACCUUUACUACAGCUUGACACUGAACAUUGAGCCUUGAUGUGUAGGAUAGGUGGGAGGCUUUGAAGCGUGGACGCCAGUCUGCGUGGAGCCAACCUUGAAAUACCACCCUUUAAUGUUUGAUGUUCUAACCUGGCGCCAUAAUCUGGCGUGGGGACAGUGUCUGGUGGGUAGUUUGACUGGGGCGGUCUCCUCCCAAAGUGUAACGGAGGAGCACGAAGGUCAGCUAAUCCUGGUCGGACAUCAGGAGGUUAGUGCAAUGGCAUAAGCUGGCUUGACUGCGAGAGUGACGGCUCGAGCAGGUGCGAAAGCAGGUCAUAGUGAUCCGGUGGUUCUGUAUGGAAGGGCCAUCGCUCAACGGAUAAAAGGUACUCCGGGGAUAACAGGCUGAUACCGCCCAAGAGUUCAUAUCGACGGCGGUGUUUGGCACCUCGAUGUCGGCUCAUCACAUCCUGGGGCUGAAGUAGGUCCCAAGGGUAUGGCUGUUCGCCAUUUAAAGUGGUACGCGAGCUGGGUUUAGAACGUCGUGAGACAGUUCGGUCCCUAUCUGCCGUGGGCGCUGGAGAAUUGAGGGGGGCUGCUCCCAGUACGAGAGGACCGGAGUGGACGCAUCACUGGUGUUCGGGUUGUCAUGCCAAUGGCACUGCCCGGUAGCUAAAUGCGGAAGAGAUAAGUGCUGAAAGCAUCUAAGCACGAAACUUGCCCCGAGAUGAGUUCUCCCUGAGACUAUAAGUCUCCUGAAGGAACGUUGAAGACGACGACGUUGAUAGGCCGGGUGUGUAAGCGCAGCGAUGCGUUGAGCUAACCGGUACUAAUGAACCGUGAGGCUUAACCUU